AUUGAACGCUGGCGGCAUGCCUUACACAUGCAAGUCGAACGGCAGGACGGGUGGUUUCCCUUGGUGGCGAUUGGCGCACGCGUGAGUAUUACAUCUGGACAUGUUCUCUAUCGGGGGGUGGCCAGUCGGAAACCGGGUUGAUACCACAGACUAAUUUCUUGAGACGGCUGGGUAAAUUGUGGCCGCCGGCCUUGGUGUUUGCUAUUGACGGAUUAGCGCUUGAUUAGCUAGUUGGUCAGGUAAGGGCCUACCAAGGCGACGAUGAGUAGCUGGUCUGAGAGGACGAUCAGCCACACUGGGACUGAGACACGGCCCAGACUCCUACGGGAGGCAGCAGUGGGGAAUUUUGGACAAUGGGCGAAAGCCUGAUCCAGCAAUGCCGCGUGUGUGAAGAAGGCCUUCGGAUUGUAAAGCACUUUUGUCAGGAAAGAACACCUUGGUCAUAAUCCGGUCGGGGCAUGACGGUACCGGAAGAAUAAGCCACGGCUAACUACGUG
rnacentral:rRNA from 1 species